rnacentral:rRNA from 1 species
UACGAAGGGGGCUAGCGUUGCUCGGAAUCACUGGGCGUAAAGGGUGCGUAGGCGGGUCUUUAAGUCAGGGGUGAAAUCCUGGAGCUCAACUCCAGAACUGCCUUUGAUACUGAGGAUCUUGAGUUCGGGAGAGGUGAGUGGAACUGCGAGUGUAGAGGUGAAAUUCGUAGAUAUUCGCAAGAACACCAGUGGCGAAGGCGGCUCACUGGCCCGAUACUGACGCUGAGGCACGAAAGCGUGGGAGCAAACAGGG